rnacentral:rRNA from 1 species
UGCCUUAGUAACUGCGAGUGAAGCGGCAAGAGCUCAAAUUUUAAAUCUGACGUCUUUCGGCGUCCGAGUUGUAACUAGGAGGGACAUAUUCGGGGGUGGCGCCGUCCUAAGUUCCUUGGAACAGGACGUCACAGAGGGUGAGAAUCCCGUGCCUGGAUGGCUGCCCAUCACCAUGUGAAUUGUCUCCAACGAGUCGAGUUGUUUGGGAAUGCAGCUCAAAAUGGGUGGUAAAUUUCAUCUAAAGCUAAAUAUUGGCGAGAGACCGAUAGCGCACAAGUAGAGUGAUCGAAAGAUGAAAAGCACUUUGAAAAGAGAGUUAAAAAGUACGUGAAAUUGUUGAAAGGGAAGCGCUUGCGACCAGACUCGAUCUUUGGCGAUCAGCCGGACCUUCCAGGUUCGGUGCACUUGCCACUGAUCGGGCCAGCAUCGGUUCCGAGGGCGGGAUAAAAGGUUGGGGAAUGUGGCUUCCUCCGGGGAGUGUUAUAGACCCGAUCACAAUGCCGCCAUUUGGGACCGAGGACCGCGCUUCGGCUAGGAUGCUGGCGUAAUGGUCUUAAGCGACCCGUCUUGAAACACGGACCAAGGAGUCUAACAUCUAUGCGAGUGUUCGGGUGGAAAACCCUUGCGCGUAAUGAAAGUGAACGGAGGUGUGAACCCGCAAGGGUGCAACAUCGACCGGUCCUGAUGUCUUCGGAAGGAUCUGAGUAAGAGCAUAGCUGUUGGGACCCGAAAGAUGGUGAACUAUGCCUGAAUAGGGUGAAGCCAGAGGAAACUCUGGUGGAGGCUCGCAGCGGUUCUGACGUGCAAAUCGAUCGUCAAAUUUGGGUAUAGGGGCGAAAGACUAAUCGAACCAUCUAGUAGCUGGUUCCUGCCGA